AUGUUCUGCAUACACGGCAAGUUCUGCUUACCGUCUGCAAGUGGCUACGACACAGGCCACGGGAUACAAGAAGAUCUUCUGGAAAGCGUGUGGCACCGGGGCAAGCAAAGUUGUUCACAUGGCUGUUGCACCAAAACCGAAUAUGGCCCAGUUCUUUUGACACGAUUAUGGGGAAUCGGGGUCUGGAAAAUCAGAAGCCAGAAAGAACUCGACGGCCGAUUCUGCCUGGUUCUUGGAGAAGCUGAUUCUGGAGGAAGUUUUCCAAAAGCUGAUUCUGGAGAAUCAAAAGCUAAAAAGAACUGGGCCAUAGUCUAUGCCCAACCGGUUAGGCACACAACUCCACCAAAACCACCUACGAUAAAAGAAACAACUGCAGCGAUCCGAGCAAUCGUUUGCAGCACUGACACAUCUGCAGGACGAGGUACUAGAUCCAUGGUGAUCCUGAUCUCCUGGGAAAUUUGGCAUGAGCGGAACAACUGCACAUUCAGAGAGAGAAGCUGCCGGCCCAAAGCGAUGUCAUUGGCAAGAAACGUCGAGAAAUGCCGCCUUGCAGGUAGAAUAAACAAGCAGAUUGUGGUUUCUCUUAUUCUCAUCGUCCCAUUUGCCCGUGAAAAUAGUGAAGCUUGGCGGAGCGGCUGCGCCUUGACAUCGCCCGAGAGGGCUGCAUCCAAUGGGUUGCCGACCGGUUGCACCAGUCAACGUGAGCGUGCCGACCCUCCUGGGAGUUGCGCUAGGCUUGAUGGAGUACUUGGUGACCAUUGGGAUUGGGUCCUCGACAUUCCUCAUCAUACCGACAGCGACACCUCCUCGGUGCGCUGUGAUACCCAGGCUGACACACCGUUCGAACUAUUGUUGGACCUCGUCUGCUUCUCCAUCGGGUCGAUGCUAGACUCUAGGACGCUCUCCUCGAUCUUCAAGGACAGGAUGACGCAGUACUCAACGGGGCCAUCGAGCGGCACCCGAGACACGUGCUUCAACUUCACUGGUAAGAGCAACAUCACGAUACCACAUGUGGCGCUGUUGUUCAACGACAACGUGAUGGUGGAGCUAAACGCCAAAAAGGGUUGUUUUCUUUUCACCCCAUCCAAUGGGUCUACGUCCAACGGGUUGCCGAUAGCACAACAACGCUAA
rnacentral:rRNA from 1 species